UACGUAGGGCGCAAGCGUUGUCCGGAAUUAUUGGGCGUAAAGAGCUCGUAGGCGGUUUGUCGCGUCUGCUGUGAAAUCCUCAGGCUCAACCUGGGGCUUGCAGUGGGUACGGGCAGACUAGAGUGCGGGUAGGGGUGACUGGAAUUCCUGGUGUAGCGGUGGAAUGCGCAGAUAUCAGGAAGAACACCCGUGGCGGAAGGCGGCUCUCUGGGACGGUA
rnacentral:rRNA from 1 species